AGGGCAACAGAGUAAGACUCUAUCUUAAAAAUAUAUAUAUUUAUACCACACCCAAUGAGAAUCGGGGAUCAUUGUGAUCAGGGGAACAAAAUUUGUGGCCUCCUUGUGAACAAAUUCUCUACAUGU